GUGAAUCAUCGAAUCUUUGAACGCAAAUUGCACUCUCCUCGGAGAGUAUGCCUGUUUGAGGGUCAGCCUAUAAAAAAUCGACAUCGUUGCUGUUUCGCGGUGACGUUCGUCGGAAAUUGGGUCAUCUUAAUAUCCUUUAGGUUUUAAGAGGCUUAAAAUUGACUUUUUUUGCGCAUUUUAGAUGUACAUAAAUUUUUUUUAUUCGUCUAUUCUUAAUGCCAAAAUCUUAUUAGAUGCGAUCACAUCGUGUGGUUUCGUGUCCAUAAAAUUUUCAUGAUUUGACCUCAAAUCAGGUAGGAGU
rnacentral:misc_RNA from 1 species